rnacentral:lncRNA from 1 species
AAAUCACAUGUGAAGGGUCAGAACGAUAACGUCGCAACAUUGAUACAUGAAACACGUUAUGAAUUCUUUCUAACUCUGCCGGUAAGGCCAACCGAUAUGCCACUGGUCCAAUUCUCUCAGUAAUCUCGUACGGCCCAAUAAAACGCGGACUCAACUUGCCUUUUCAGCUAAAUCUUAGAAUCUUCUUCCAUGGUGACACCUUCAAGAACACUUUAUCACCUAC